rnacentral:tRNA from 1 species
GGAGAGAUGGCUCGGUGGUUAAGAGCACUGACUGUUCUUCCAGAGGUCCUGAGUUCAAAUCCCAGCAACCACA